GAUCCUUGUGUACGUGAGGCCUUUUGAAAUGUUAAACUUGGAAACUUCCCUAUCCGUGUAGGCACAAGGAUGGACAACUCAGGUGUCUGAAGACAACAAGCAAAGCAGUUUGGCAUCACCCUUCCUCUGGCACUGUGGGUGUUAUCAAGGGCUGGAUAACAAAAGAGAAAGAGAGCAAAGGAGAGUCAGAGCUCCUGGGACAAGAUGCCUGCUGGGUCCUGGAAAAUAAUCCAAAGCCUUUCCUAAAACAGCUCAAGGAUUAAAACAUCCAUCCUGAGAUGGGCAGCGUGAAGUCUGACGGUGGUUGGGCAGCACCAGAUGUGCAAAAGCUUUAUGGAAGGAAAGCCUCAGUGCCCAAAAAGAGCUGAGCUUUUGACUGAUGUGUCUGCAGCAAGCAACAGAGGAGAAGGUGCCCCUUGCUUUCACUGCCAGCUUUCCUUCAUGAAGAGCAGCAGAAGGGAAAAAAGCAUCACUGCAAUGCUGCUGAGAUGGGCAGAGGUCGCACUGCUCCCACACUGCCCUGGGGUCAAAGUCCCUCUGUUCCCAUGCUCCCUGGGGGUUGCUACAGGGUAUUCUGCUGUCCAGGACAACAUCUGGUUUGUGGCUUUGGGAGAGGUCACUGUCCUUAUCUGUGUCAUACAGAAGAGGGAUGGACGUGCAGGAGAAGGGGCUUGCCUGGACUCCUCCAGCUCUCCUCAAUCAGAAACAUAAAACCAGGCUUUCCAGCCCUGAGCAACAAACUGCUGAUCCUAUAGCCCACUCUGUCUGCCAGCUCUCAUGGUUUUGUUUGCUCUUGUUUUCAGAGAGGCCAAAUGAUCCCUGCUUACAACUCAGAUUAGAGGUAGUAUCAUUUCUUCAGCCCUCACCAUGGGGGAAAUCAGCUGGAAAGGGGCAAAGUGCUGUCAGUUAUGUCCAGGGCUUUGGGCUGAUUUUCUCUCCAUGUUCUGGAAUAGCUGGACUUCAGGAUGAGGCCAAAGAGAAAUCUUCAUCCCAGAAAAGCAGUUGUUUUCUUUAUAAAGGUAUAAAGCUGUUGGAAAAGAGACUUUAAAUUUAAAGUGACCAUUUAGCCAUAACUGCAACUUUGCCAGAAAUUUGCUGUAAUGUGGAAUGACUCAGAAAUACAAAACUAAGGGGAAAACCUCUUCCUUUGUUCAAGGGAGAAAAAGAGAUGUAUCCUUCUCUAAAAUAGAACUGAAAGCUCUGCAGUAUUGGAUCGUAUUCAGAAUAAAAACUGCAGAGAAAAUAAUCCUGAAGAUCUGAUCCCAAUCCUGGCACUGCCACCCUAUGAACUGGUCCUCUUAUUCAGAACAGAGGGGUGUAAAAUGCAGCUUGUAAAUCAAUAGGACAGAUAAAUCUUCAGACAGAUCAGGUCUGAAGAUCACCUGCAUGCUGUUAUUUUCCUGUACUGAUGGAUGUUUCAAGUUACCCCUUUUCCAUCCAGGCAGAAGGAAUGCUUGUGGCAAGAGAAUAUAUGUGGCUUGUGGGGUCCUGUGCAAGGAGGGCAAAGAGGUAAACCUCCAGUCUAAAGGGGAUAUAUGGAGUCAGUGGGAUGCUGUCAGACCAAACUCUUCCCAACUGCUUUCCUAUCAGUUCCUGCUUUCCUUCUCCUUGAACUCAACAUGCCAGAUGCUGUGGCCAUGUCCACUCCUAGCAACCCUUCUCCAUCAUCCUCCGCCUCCAAGCCAGAGCCUGGGAAUGGCCUGGCACACGUGGCCCUCUCAGCCCAGCUUUCUCAUGAAGAUAAACGACCCCAUUUGAUGUGAUGACAGAGAACAGCAGCUGGGGCAGCCUCCCAGCUGCUAUAAGGGCAAAUCAAAGCACUGAGUUUGGUGUGGAGAAUAAGAUAUCAUCAGCAUCUGCAGGCAAGGAAGGAGACAGUUUGACUGGCUAAUUAGCCUUGGGUGCUAAUGAAACCUAGAGCAGAAGAUCUCAGCAUGCUGGGGUGAUGUUUUUGUGCUGGUUUGAAGGAGUGUGAGCAGGAUCCAGGAACAGGGAACUGCUUCCAAAAGGGUCUUCCAGAAGGAUGUCUGUGAUUUUGAUUUAAACUUGGCUUGAUGUGUAGGAGCACAAAGGAGAGUCUUCUGUCCUGCUGAACCAGUGGGGGCAGAGGUGGCCUUUGGAGGACACCCAGGGCUGGGAUUUGGAGAUCUCUGACCUAAUGACCAUGACACGAUGCCAAGGCAGAGCUGGGCAAAGCUCAGAGCUGAAAAGCAAGAAAGAAUCUACCUAAAGAGCAACUGAGAUGCAGGGAUGCUUCUGCUCCUGGCAAGUGAAAUCCCCACACAGAGAAGAUUCUUUUCAUUUGGUCUGAGCUUUCCAUUCUGAUUAUAAUCAAAGCAGCUCAUUCUGCCUCGCCUUCUCCCUUGCGGUGAUGGGGUCACCCUGCAUAUCUCAGCAGGAAAUUUCUAAAGGAAAUGUCUUUUACAACAAGCCUUUGUGAUAAGAACAUAGCCACCUUAUCAAAACGCUUUGCGCUCUGAUGUAUUUCUUUAAACAAAACCUGUGCCAAACUCCUCCACCCAGCAUGCCUAUGGCUCACCCCAGCCUAACCAGGCCAGGAGACGAAGCCAGGUAUUUGCUACCCUCUGCUGUUCUCUUCCUGCUAUAUCACCUCCCUCUAGCAGAAGCCAACGCUACUUUCUGCUCUCCUUUAAGACCCUGUGCUGUCUGGUAGAGAGAAACCAUUACCCUUCCCAUUAGGAGAUGCUGAGCCUUCAGCCCACCCCAUCUCUCUGCUCCUGCAUCCUCCCCAGCCCCUUCUCCCAAAUAUCAUCAGCUCCACACACCUGAGCUUCCCUCCAUCUCCCAGCCUGCUUUCCACCCUGUCCUUUCUGCUUUUCCCCCUGCCGUUAUGCUUGGGCCAUUCCUCCCUGUGCAUUGCUCACACAUUAGGAAGAGCUCAGAGGAGAGCUGGGCUCUGGGCCUGCCAAGUACUAAAAUCCUUCUAUGAGUCUCAGAGAACAGCCUGGCACCAUUGGGGUUAAUUCAGAGGUAGCAUCAGAGCAGCUCCUGCCUUUAUUAUCAACCCUUGACCCUUCACAGAAGAAAACAAGCCAACAGAUAAAUGCCAGCUGUGUUGCUUUGGUGCCCACAUUGAAUAUUUAUCACCAUAAACACUAUUAAUCACAGAGAGAGGUGGGGGCAUAAUACCUUCCUAAUGAGCUGUGUUCAGCUGACUCCAGGUAGGUUUUAAAGUGCAGAGCUCCUUUCUCUCAUUACAGCUGCAGAGCUCUCCUCUGGGGAGAUGUGUAUUGCUGCAUUUCAGAAGCUUCAAAGGGAGGUAGAUAUGACCCUGCAUUGCUAACGCAACUAAUGGGCUACAAUAAUCAGUGUUACCGCCUUUAGAAGACAGCAUUCUUGGAGCAGAAGACUCACCAAAGUAUGGGUGAAUCCCAUCAAAAUGGUGGUGAUG